rnacentral:rRNA from 1 species
UACGGAGGGUGCGAGCGUUAAUCGGAAUAACUGGGCGUAAAGCGCACGCAGGCGGGCUGUUAAGUGAGAUGUGAAAUCCCCGGGCUCAACCUGGGAAUAGCAUUUCAGACUGGGAAGCUAGAGUACUGUAGGGGGGGGUAGAAUUCCAGGUGUAGCGGUGAAAUGCGUAGAGAUGUGGAGGAAUACCGGAGGCGAAGGCGGCCCCUUGGGAGAGGACUGACGCUCAGGUGCGAAAGCGUGGGGAGCAAACAGG